rnacentral:lncRNA from 1 species
CCCAAUUUAAAUGAGCCCAAGUAAAAAUAUAUACACUGAGCCCAACGAAAAUAAAAAGGUAUGGCCCAUCCGAUUUUUAGGAAAGCCCAAACAAAAAUCCCUCUCUCUCUAAUCUCCUCUCUACACACCCACUGCCUCCCUUCUCCCUCCAUAGCUCCGCCGCCGGCCGCCUGCUCCAGCUCCGGCGGAAUCUUCGCCGGAAACACCUCCCUCUGGUCGUCCCUCUCUCACCUCACUCCAUCCCAUCGUCUCUCACCCUCCCACUCUUUCUCACCGCUCUCUUCUUCCUCCUUAACAUCCGUCGUCUGCUCCCUUCUCCGGCGAAAAUCGCCGGC